AUACCGGGUGCUGUAGGCUU
rnacentral:ncRNA from 3 species